CUCACAAGAUAAAAGAUACAAGGCCAGAUUAGUGGCCAAGGGUUUUACUCAAAAGGAGGGGGGUAGAUUACAAUGAAAUUUUUUUCCCAGUGGCAAAAUAUACCUCUAUAAGAAUAGUGUUGGCACUAACUGCUCAUUUUGACUAGGAAUUAGAUCAACUGGAUGUUAAAACUGCAUUCCUUAAUGGAGAUCUAAAUGAAACCAUAUACAUAAACCAACCUCCGGGGUUUGAAGUAAAGUCAAAGAUCAACAAGGUUUGUUUGCUGAAGAAGUCCCUCUAUGGACUAAAACAGGCUCCCAUGCAAUGGUAUAUAAAAUUUAACUCCUAUGUGCAGACUUUGGGUUUUGUCAAAAGCAAUUAUGAUUCCUGUUUUUUCUAUAAAGGUUCAGGUGGACCUGAAUCCAUUUAUCUGUUAUUAUAUGUUGAUGACAUGUUGCUUGCCUGCCAUGAUAGAUCUGAAAUCAAUUUCAUUAAAUCAAAAUUAAAAUCUGGAUUUGAAAUGAAAGACUUAGGACAAGCAAAAAGGAUUCUUGGAAUGGAAAUAGAAAGAGAUAGGAAUAAUUGCAUGUUAUUGUUGAAACGAGGCACUUAUAUGAAGAAAAUACUUGAAAAGUUUGCAAUGUUUGAGUGUAAACCUGUAACCUUACCCAUUGCUAAUCAUUUUAAACUGUCAAGUGAAAAUUCACCUAAAACAGAUGAUGAAUUUAUAAGAAUGGAAAAGAUUCCGUAUUCUAAUGUUGUAGGAUCAAUAAUGUACCUUAUGGUCUGUACUAGACCUGACUUAGCUCAUGGCAUUAGUACCUUGAGUAGGUUAUGUCAAAUCCAGGUGAAACACACUGGUUAGCCAUGAAGGGGAUGCUGAGAUACUUAAAAGGAAAUUCUGAUUUAGGUUUAAUGUUUAAAAGAAGCAAUAAAGGGGUAAUGUUAAAAGGCUACACAGAUUCUGACUUUGCUGGUGAUUUAGAUAAAAGAAGGUCAACAUCUUCAUAUGUUUUCACUUUGUGUGAUGGUUGCAUUAGUUGGAAAUCACAAUUGCAAAAGUUAGUUGCACUUUCUUCUAUAGAAGCUGAAUAUAUUGCUGCAUGUGAUGCAGUAAAAGAAAGUCUUUGGCUUAGGGGUUUACUAAAUGAAAUGGGUUUUGGAAAUAAUACUGUUAAGAUUUAUACUGAUAACCAAAGUGCCAUACACUUGAGCAAAAAUCCUGUAUACCAUGAUAGGAAUAAACAUAUAGAUAUAAAAUUCCAUUUUGUGAGAAAUAUGGUAGAAAAGGGUUUGAUUGAAUUGGUUAAAGUUCUUACAGAAUUCAACCCAUCAGAUUUAGGAACCAAAGUGUUACCCCUGAAUAAAUUUAAAAAUUGCUUGAAGAUUUUGAAUAUUACAUGAAAGUGUAACAUUGAAAACUUCAAGUGUUUAUGUUGAAAUUUUUUGAACUAAUUCUUCUUUUGUUUUUUGCAGGUACUGAGAGCAAAUGAACCAAAAUGUGAGAUGAAACUCGAGAUUCACUAAUUAAAGUCAAGAAAUAGUUUAGCAAGGUGGAGGUUGUUAGUAAUAAUGGGCUGCUUCACUAUUACUUGAUGGCCCAAAAAGAAAUCCACUGAAUGGAUUUCGACCAUUAUUAUUAACGGGUUGAUAAAACGUGUCUUUGUGAAAUGCGAUUUUAUGCCUCCUUAUGGGCGGGGAUCUGCCGUCAACGUGGCUUCAUCCCAACCCUUGGAUUGUGGUAGUUGACUGAUCAGAUAUUUAUCUUGAUUUUGGCUCUCAUUCUGGACGCUUCGUUUUAUUCUGUCAUUUUGCCUCUUCUAUUCUUCUCUGAGUUAGAGACUAGGGUUUCUACUUUUCUCUGAAUAUUGAAAAUGUUCUUCGUGGUCUUCUCAAUCUGUAUACUUUGUGAUAUUUUAGAUUGUUGUGUACAAUCUGUGAGUGAUUAAGAGUUUUGUAGUUAGGUUUUUUAAAGGAGACGAAAGGGAUAUCAAAGAACUUGGUUCCUUCGUACAUCUGUACUAAUUUUUGGUGUUUUUCUUAGUGAAAUCUUGAGCUAUAUCUCCCUUGGGAAUGCUCAAC
rnacentral:lncRNA from 1 species